rnacentral:rRNA from 1 species
UACGGAGGGGCCAGCGUUGUUCGGAAUCAUUGGGCGUAAAGGGCGCGUAGGCGGCUUUGUAAGUCGACUGUGAAAUCUCCGGGCUUAACCCGGAAAGGUCAGCCGAUACUGCGGGGCUAGAGUGCAGAAGGGGCAACUGGAAUUCUCGGUGUAGCGGUGAAAUGCGUAGAUAUCGAGAGGAACACCUGCGGCGAAGGCGGGUUGCUGGGCUGACACUGACGCUGAGACGCGAAAGCGUGGGGAGCGAACAGG